AGGAGCCGUGUGCGGUGAAAGUCGCAAGCACGGUUUUGAAGGAGAGGCUCGAGGGGCGACCCUUGGGUCGACUCUCU
rnacentral:ncRNA from 1 species